GGCAGCCCGGCGGGCUCGCCUCCCUUUUCUGCCUCAGCUCGGGGCCGCUCACCGCGGCCCGGGAUCACUCCGCCCCUCACCAGCCUGCCAGGGGCUCCUCGAGUAAAUAGUCCCUUCUCGCAGCGCCGCCUCCUCUUUCUCUCUCUCUCGCCCCCUCGACCUGCUCGCCCGCCCAGCCCUCAGCCCACCCCCGCGUCCUCGACGCCUCGCCGCUCUCCGCUACCACCGGGCUCCCGCCGGGUGGCGGAGCCGCUGAGGCAGCUCCUAGGGGAGGGGGCUUCCCCCUCACCCCCCCCCAUUCGGCUCUCCGCGGCCAGAGCCUCGCUCCCAGUUAGCCCACUGGCGUCAGGUGGGGGCGAUGCAGGUAACGUUCCUGGUGUUGUGCUCCUCUGAAAUUACAGAAAUUGGGUUUUAUCCUUCGAGAUGAAAACUGAUUGCUACUGUGUUGCUAGCAUUCACCCUGAGCAUCGUGUUAUUUACAUUUUCCCAGAGAGCCCAGCUCUGCGAAACAUGAAAUUAUGGGACAAUCUCUGGUUUAUUUUUUUAUAAAUGAGUUUCUCAUGCUGUGGGUUGCAAAGAAAAACUGAACAAGGGACCCCUGAAGACUCGAAACCAGAAGGCAGAUUAAAACAAUUCCAAAGAUAUUGCAAUUUAAAACCUCAUUCAUUUUAUUUUAACCUCAUUCAUUUCAGUGCACGGAGCUGGGAAUUACCAAAACUGGGUUAGGUUUCCAAAGGAAUCAUAGGCAUGGCAGUGCCGAGACACGUUGGUUUCUCCUGAAGCGCACAAUUGCUGGCUGCAGCCAUGGGGAGCCUUUUGCCAUGUGUGGGAGACCUGAAGGUCUCCAAAUGGACCAAGGAAAUCCCUUGGAUGGUGGCAGAAGGUGCUGAGACCGAGGUGCUGCUACUGCUACAUCCCUCGGGAAAUCUGGGGUCUGUAUCCCCUUAGGCACCAAGGGCUGUGCUUUCAAAAGCAAGGAAAAAUGGAGCCAGGGUAGAGAAGGCGUUUUUUCUCUACGUGGUCUCAGGAGGGGGUUGAGUCGCAUCUACUCCAUUGGUUUGUUGAUAGCAGUUUAUUUACAGUGCAUUAGCUCUAUCAGUUCCUAAACAAAGGCAAGCCAAAUGCGCUGUAGAAACAAGACCAUCAGUGCGACAUCAGGACAUGAUCUGUCACCAAUCCAUUUUGGUACAGUAAACAUGUUCUGUAUUUGCCUCCAUCCAACUGCACUCCCUCACAAUCACUUUAUGGAGGCUAAUUAUUUUUAUCUAGAGCUCCAGUCAUACCUUUUGCUCUCAAACUUUAUAGCUAACUAGCUCUGUUUAAAAAAAACAAACAAACAAAAAAAAAAAAAAACAACUGAGCCAUAGGCUUUCGUCAUCUAUUUCAUAAAUGAAGUACGACCUCUAAGUAGUGUACAUAGUUAUAGGAUGUACAUUUUUAUGUUACAUUUGUAUUUUAAAGAAGACUGUGACAAAGGACGGCAGCAUCAGUUUUUUUCUGAGAUACUGUUAUUAGCAAGGAUUACAAAAUCACUGUUUCCUGUGUGCAGUCACUCUUAAUAAUUUGAUGCUGAACUGCGGACAUGUACGAGAGGAAUCACUGGCUAAGGGAGUCAAGGCUCUUUCAAAGUAUAGUUAGAAUGAAGGGUCUGCUCUAUUUCUUCAAUCCAGUCCUAAUAAAACAAUGCUUCCUGACCACACCUAGCUUGCCAAAGCCUGCUAAUAGCAACACCCCCUCCUUUCUGUAGUAGAAUAGGCAUCUUACUUUGUAUACAUGGUUUAGGCACACUGAUGUCUUCCUCUUCAUUUGUACCUUCUUUAUACUGUUGUGUUUAAAUAUCUGUUUUUUGUAAUACCUUGCUUUGCUGAUCACAGGGGCUAGAUUAUUUGCAGCCUGAUCAGCUCCAAAGAAUUAUUUGUUUGAAAGUUUUAAAUUUUGACACAAAUCAAAACAUAGGGAAAGUAUUUUGCCAUUUUUUCUCCACUUUGCAGCUAGCUGAACUUCCAUAGUUAAGUAUCUUGACCUUUGUACAGCUGGUUGGGUGUGUGGAUGAUUUAGCUGAGUCUUCUAACCUUGUUUUCUGUUUCUAGUUUGGGAUCUCUCAACUGAAAGGCACUACUUGCCUCAUUUAGGCAUUUCUUCUACAGUUUAUAGUCUAUAAAAAGGAAAUAUAAAGGGUCUCAAGCCUCUACGUGUUUGCUCUAGUAGUACCCCUCAGACUAAGUAACUCCUUACUUGCUCCUUCGUAAUGGCAGAACCACAGCACUUAAGAGCUGAUGAGGGUGUAAUCCCCAGCAAUCCUUUAACAGCACAAAUGGAAAAGCUUCUAGUAAAUGUUUCUGGUUUUUUUCAGAGCUUGCUCUCCUCCAGAGGUUUGGUUUUCUGGCUCCUCCUAUGGAUGGCAGACUGAUGCUCCCUUUCAGUCUUUGGGAACAGCCCUGAGAAGAGCUACAUUUUUGACUUGGAAGGGCUGUUAUUUAAAUGGCAAAAUGUUCCACGUAUAGUGCAUGUUCCUAGUCUUCUUCCCACAGAAUCAGCCAAAGAAGUGUCACUGGAAAAGCAGUAUGCAUUUCUCUUAAGUGUUUGCCUCAGAGUCUUGCUCUACAACAUCAGUUCAAAUCACAGUUUAAUUACAGCAGUGCUCAAUUUGCAAAAGCUUGGCCACUCUACUGUUUUGAGUAAAGAAAUAAAAUGGCACUUGCACAUGUUCUGACCUAGAUGAGAGAGUGCCUGCUUGUUGACAGCAGAGCCUAUGAGCUGUGAACAAAUAAAGCCUCAAGCAACAGGGAGUCUGCGGGUUGGACCUGCAUGUCCAUUCUGCUGACCAGCCAUGAACUGCUGGAGAACUGAGGCACAUGGCACAGCAAUGAAUGUAGAAAGUUUGAUCCACAUCUGUUUCCAGCCACAAGCUGGCUGGAGCAGCCUGGGUGUCAAUGCUGACCUUAGGCACACAGCACGAAGGUGUGGUGGUGUGGCAAAGACAGAGCAUCACUGCAGCUCCAAAAGUUCUGACUUGGUUCUCGCAAAGAAAAUUUACAUUUCAUGCAUCUCAAGCUCCUUACUGACUGCCCUAUUUGCUUCAGGAUCCAGUUUGAAACCAUAUUCCUUGUUUUUCAAACCACACCCUCACUCCUUGGACUUUUUUCCAGUUUGUCUCCCUGGAGACCGUGGAGCCCUCCCCUUUCCUUCCGUCUGUCUCUUCUCUCCUUCUAGCAGGCUCCUUGCUGCUGAGUUCAGAGCUGUCUCCUCUCAUCUUCUCCUCCCCAGAACCGACUCCCUGUGUGUGUCCUGGAGUUAUUCUCCAUUUUAGUACAAAAUUCCAUUCCAGUAAUGUCCUUUUCCCUUGAAAUUCAAUUCUUGCCCCAUCUGUUGUUCUGAUUGAAUGCAUUGAGCCUUGGAUCAUAUCAAGCACUUUGUGGCUCUGGAUGGGGUUCUUCUGUGGUUUUUGUAAGACAUUGUGCAAAUUCCUGACAGCAGGCUGGUAAAAAUUGUGUGUGGAAUGUUUUGGAAAAAGCAACUGGAAAUGUAAAGAUUCUGCAGCAGCAUUGUUCAGUAGGUGAGUGCUUAAUGUUUAAAUUCCCUCUAGUUCAUUCUCUGGUGGGGAAAUGUCGCUGUACACACUUAGCAUUUAAAGGAAAUCCCCUUUUAUGGUGGAUUUAACUCCCGACAUGCUCUCAAUAAAGGUCACUUCAUGAAUUUAUAGCUUGGUAUGUGAAGCCCCAUCCUGUGAUCCCUGCUCAUGGAAAGCUCAGCUGGAGAUGAUAAAUUCUGAUGGUAUUUAAUGUCAAAAUGAACAGAAGUGUCUAGAGGCAGUAGCAGUGCAGGCUGGAGGUCUCCAGAUCCCCCACAGAGCCGAUGCCAUGAUGAUACAUAAUUUACUUGUAACUUGUAAGCAAUACAGCCGUCUUUCCUCCCAGAAGCUCUUCCAUUUAAAGAAGCCGUGUCUGUCUUUGUGUAGUGCGCUGACAUUCAUGCUCUCUCUGCAUUCUUACAGGAGUUUGGUUCUUCUUUGGACACCUGCAUUCUCCAGAGUGUGCAGCCCAGAUGCUGAAUAACUUGCAUGGCAAUGGAUAAGGCAGCUGAAAAUGCAACUCCUUCAGCCUAACCUUGUAAAAACAGUUCUACUGGUCAGUGACGCAGAGCAGAAUAAAGGGCAUGGGAGUCAACGUCUGUCUUCAAAAUCGUGACAGUUGGGUCAGGGCUGCCUGCUACGUCAACAUUUUUAGAAGCUGAAUUCCUUCAGAGUGUUUUCUCUGGCAAUAUAUCCAUUAAAUGGAUAGGGGGUGAGCAUGUUCUUUGAAAAUAUAACUAAUGAAAUGCGGCAGCUAAUAUAGAUCAAGUUUGCAUCUAUUGCUAAUUUCACUAGUUCUGGAAUGACAGAAACCUAGCUCUAAUUAUAAACAGACAAAAUCUUAGCCUAAAUUGGCUGAGUGGUUAAAUACCAUUCAGGGGAAUAACCAGUAAGUGAGCGUGAAUAGGCUAUGAACAUACGAGGAUGGAAACAACCUGAAAGCGUCUUCUGGUUAUUACCUCUGCCCUACAGCUGAGACUGAGUAAGUCAAUAUUUUCUAAUCACAGAUUGAUAGGGUGAUUUGGGAAACACUGAAUAUACUGGCUGUUAGGGCCUUUUAGCUCUUUCCUUUGAAACAGACCCUUGACAAGGAAACCCCAGUGUUCAUUUUCUUAACAUUCUUCUAUUUUCCAGGAAACAGAAUAAAGCCAAGAAAAGCAGAAACCCCAUUACAUUUUAGAGGACAGUAGUAAAACAUGCAGAUGGAUUUCAGGAAGCUCAAGACAGAAGUCAUCCUAAUUUUCUUACUCCCAGCUUUCUCAGUCUUGAAUUGUUUGUGGAACAGGUUUUAUUGGAAGUUCAUUACAUUUUAUAGUUCCUAGUGACGUAUAUAACCUAAGUAAAAUAGACUGGCUUUUCUGGAACUUCAGUCUGAACUGAAAUUUUUGAGACACAAACACAACGCAAAGGCAUUUCCCAGGGAGGUUCAAUGGCUGUACAUUUGCUGCCUUUUAGAUUUUUUCAGAAAAUAACAAACAAGACUGCUAAGUUUGAAUAAAAUUUAGGCUGGAAGAGGAGAGCUAAGUAGUUGAAAGAACCACAUUUCGCAUUAAGAAACACCGCUUUUGUGAGUCCUCCCAAAGAUCCUUAAAUAUCUGCAUGUUUCUCUUCUAGCUGAGAAUGUGACUGAGGCAGCACAUGAUGUGUUGCCUGAUGCAAGAACUAUGCUCAGUUAGUGCAUAUUGCCAAGUUCGUGUCUGCAGACGGGAGCUUGGUUUGCUGUGUCUGCGCUGUGACUGAUCGUACUCAUUCACAGAGCAGGAGAACAAAUGGAUGUAUAGACAUUUGCUAGCAUACAGGAAACUCCAUGUUGAGCUGUUUGAUCAAUGAUACCAAACCAGGCCGUGGGAUUAAAAUACAGCUUGAAUCCAUCCUCAUUUGUAAUACAAAGUUAAACAUUUUUGAAUGGUCCGUCCCCUCUCAGUCUAACCACUCUUGUCAAAAAUGAUGCAGUUGUGUUCGCUGGUGAUACCAAGAUUCUGGUAAGCUUUUGGCAUGGCCCUGCUGUGCUCAGGCAGGGCUUUCUGAUUCUGUUUGAUCAGUAUGUCACCUCCUCAGCUGUUGGGUUACAAAGCAAUGAGCUAGCAUUUAUUACACUGCUUAUCUCAGAUAUCACUUCCUCUCUAUUCAUUUCCAUUCAUAGUUACAUAUGACAUGUAGUAUUAUUUUCAGCUAUAUUUGGCUUGCACUUUAUCCAACCUUCCAGCUCCUUUCUCUUAUGUAAAUACAACAGCAGGGAAAAGAAGCCUUUUGUCCCCUUGUGCCAGGAGGAUAUGCUGAACAUCAACAUGGACAUGUUCCUGAAGACCAAGCUGUUUUCUGGAAGUCUGCUCGCAGAUUUCAUAAUCCAUCUGUUUUCUGUAGAAUGCAGUUAUUUAAAGCCACGAAGUUCACUUCAGAGACUUUGUACAGUAGCUGUUGUUUAUGUUGGUAUUUCUGAUGAGGCUCAAUAUUGUCUAUUUUCCAUUAUAUCUCAACACUGCCUUUAAUUGCCUUUUUCCACCAGAUUUACAUAUUAUCCCUCCCGGCUGUUCACACACAGACUUCCUUUUUACUUGGCAACCUUCCAGUCACUCCGUACUACAACAGAGGUACUAAAAUGGCAGAGCAGUUGACGAGAGUCAAAACUAAAUUAUAUAUUUAUACUACGUGGCCUAUGAAUAAUUGAACAAUUAAAUAACAGAACAUCUGAGACCGUCAUCAGAAGUUCUCUUCCUUUUCCUGAAAGACAGUUCAAGUAGUUUUGGGUGGGUAUAUAACAAGGUGGUAGAGGCUUAAGAAAUCUCUCCAAAUGUUAUCAAUUCCAUUAUUUACCACUAUUCUGAGGAAGGAUAAACUGGAAUUAAUGGUUCUCUCAAACACCAAAUUAAAAUUGUUCUUACAGGACUUGGCUUUGAAAUCCUGAUGCUUGAGAGAGCAAAGACACUCCCUGUGGAUUCACGCAGAUCAUGAACACCAUCAGACUGACUCAGCAAGUAUGUCUAUAUACGCCUACCAUAGAGGUGUAAGGAAGUUUAGUGGUUUUAACGUGACUCUCAACAUGCUUAAGAAAUAUGCACAAAUUUAAGCACACACUUUUUAAUUUAGGACAUAGCUUCUUGCCUUCUAAUGCACCCAGGCCCCACUGCUCUGUUAUUGCCACUGGCUUCUGGCAUCUAAUGAUACAAGGAAACCAGUAAUGUCCUGCUGUACCCCAUAGUGAAUAGCUGCUUUGGUUGUGCUGUUCAUCUUACCUCUCUUGGGCACUGUUGAAAUCCUCAGGCUUCUGGCAGGUUGCUGCUGUAAACCCAGCAUAGCACAUGUUACAUUGAGAGAGGAAUAAGGCCUCAAUACUGUGUUUCAAACACCCGAUAGUAAAGCAAUU